rnacentral:rRNA from 1 species
GACGAACGCUGGCGGCGUGCUUAACACAUGCAAGUCGAACGCUGAAGCUCAGCUUUUGUUGGGUGGAUGAGUGGCGAACGGGUGAGUAACACGUGAGUAACCUGCCUCCUUCUUUGGGAUAACGCCCGGAAACGGGUGCUAAUACUGGAUAUUCACUGGUCUUCGCAUGGGGGUUGGUGGAAAGGGUUUUUCUGGUGGGGGAUGGGCUCGCGGCCUAUCAGCUUGUUGGUGGGGUGAUGGCCUACCAAGGCUUUGACGGGUAGCCGGCCUGAGAGGGUGACCGGUCACAUUGGGACUGAGAUACGGCCCAGACUCCUACGGGAGGCAGCAGUGGGGAAUAUUGCACAAUGGGCGCAAGCCUGAUGCAGCGACGCCGCGUGAGGGAUGGAGACCUUCGGGUUGUGAACCUCUUUCGCUCAUGGUCAAGCCGCAACAAUGGUUGUGGUGAGGGUAGUGGGUAAAGAAGCGCCGGCUAACUACGUG